AUUGAACGCUGGCGGCAGGCCUAACACAUGCAAGUCGAACGAGUGGCGGACGGGUGUGUAAUGUCUGGGACACUGCCUGAUGGAGGGGGAUAACUACUGGAAACGGUAGCUAAUACCGCAUACCAUCAGAUGUGCCCAGGUGGGCUUAGCUAGUUGGUGGGGUAACGGCUCACCAAGGCGACGAUCCCUAGCUGGUCUGAGAGGAUGACCAGCCACACGGGAACUGAGACACGGUCCAGAGUCCUAGGGGAGGCAGCGGUGGAGAAGAUGGCACAAUGGGCGAAAGCCUGAUGCAGCCAUGCCGCGUGUAUGAGGAAGGCCUGCGGGUUGUAAAGUACUUUCAGCGGGGAGGCGGUACCCGCAGAAGAAGCACCGGCUAACUCCGUGCCAGCCGCCGCGGUAAUUC
rnacentral:rRNA from 1 species